ACAUACCGAUGACAGGUCUAGAGAUAGAUUUUCCCUUUUAGGGCAUCGGAUACAGGUGGUGCAUGGUUGUCGUCAGCUCGUGUCGUGAGAUGUUGGGUUAAGUCCCGCAACGAGCGCAACCCCUAUUGUUAGUUGCCAUCAUUAAGUUGGGCACUCUAGCGAGACUGCCAGUAAUAAACUGGAGGAAGGUGGGGAUGACGUCAAAUCAUCAUGCCCCUUAUGACCUGGGCUACACACGUGCUACAAUGGGAAGUACAACGAGUUGCGAGGCGGUGACGCCAAGCUAAUCUCUUAAAGCUUCUCUCAGUUCGGAUUGUAGGCUGCAACUCGCCUACAUGAAGUCGGAAUCGCUAGUAAUCGCGGAUCAGCACGCCGCGGUGAAUACGUUCCCGGGCCUUGUACACACCGCCCGUCACACCACGAGAGUUUGUAACACCCGAAGUCGGUGAGGUAACCGUAAGGAGCCAACCGCCUAAGGUGGGAUAGAUGAUUGGGGCGAAGUCGUAACAAGGUAAGCGUAGAUGA
rnacentral:rRNA from 1 species